CAGCCGCCACGGUAAUACGUAGGUGGCAAGCGUUGUCCGGAAUUAUUGGGCGUAAAGCGCGCGCAGGCGGAUCAGUCAGUCUGUCUUAAAAGUUCGGGGCUUAACCCCGUGAUGGGAUGGAAACUGCUGAUCUAGAGUAUCGGAGAGGAAAGUGGAAUUCCUAGUGUAGCGGUGAAAUGCGUAGAUAUUAGGAAGAACACCAGUGGCGAAGGCGACUUUCUGGACGAAAACUGACGCUGAGGCGCGAAAGCCAGGGGAGCGAACGGGAUUAGAUACCCCCGUAGUCCCUGUCUCUUAUACA
rnacentral:rRNA from 1 species